rnacentral:lncRNA from 1 species
GAUUGGUUAAAUUGGGCUUACAAAGUGCUAAUUUAUAUAGAUUUAGAGAAAUCCCAUUGGGUUCAUGUUAACCUUGCCAGCACCUGGGUGAGCCCAAUUCUUCUUAUAGUUGGUUUACUCAUAUGAUAAACAUUAGCCAAUUUCUACACUUGAUUUGAACCUAAUUGAAUUUGAUUCAAUGGGCUCCAAUGAUUGGAUGCUUAUUUUAUGAUUUGAAUUAAUUCAAAAAAAAGUUUCUUGAUUUUUUUGAUUGAAAAUUUAUCUUGAUUUGAUCAAAAUCCC